UACGAAUGGGGCUAGCGUUGUUCGGAAUUCCUGGGCGUAAAGCGUGCGCAGGCUGCUUCUCCAGUCAGGGGUGAAAGCCCAGAGCUCAACUCUGGAAUUGCCUUUGAGACUGAGUGGCUUGAGUACGAGAGAGGUGAGUGGAAUUCCCAGUGUAGAGGUGAAAUUCGUAGAUAUUGGGAAGAACACCGGUGGCGAAGGCGGCUCACUGGCUCGUAACUGACGCUCAUGCACGACAGCGUGGGGAUCAAACAGG
rnacentral:rRNA from 1 species